UACGUAGGGUGCGAGCGUUGUCCGGAAUUACUGGGCGUAAAGAGCGCGUAGGCGGUCCGGUAAGUCGGUUGUGAAAGUCGGGGGUCAACCUCGGAUGCCGAUCGAUACUGUCGGGCUAGAGUCCGGAAGAGGCGAGUGGAAUUCCUGGUGUAGCGGUGAAAUGCGCAGAUAUCAGGAGGAACACCAGCGGCGAAGGCGGCGCUCUGGGCCGGUACUGACGUGAGGAGCGAAAAGCGUGGGGAGCAAACAGG
rnacentral:rRNA from 1 species